AGGAUGCUGUUUGCUUAGCUUUACUGACUCGCUGCGAGUAGCUCGAUUUGCCGAAGCCUUAGGCCGCAAGCUGUAAACUUUCACUUAGAUUUACUGAACGUGGACUCACUUAGUCAAAACAGGGGCCUCCAGCGCCAGCGUAAAUCAGGAGAUAAGGAGGCUUCAAGGCUACCAUCGUCAACAGCAGCUGCAACUCGAGGAGAUAACGAACGGCCUGUCUGGAGACGGUGCGGGAGUCCAAUAAGGAGUCAGGAGGUGUCGGAGGAUCUCAGACCGGGAUCACUAUUGGACCACGGGGCGCGGGGAAGGCGCGUGAAGAGCGCGUGAGGGGCGGGUGAAUAGUCCAUAGAGGUUUAAUUGCCCAGGGAUUUCUUUGUUCGGGUUGGUCCCUCCUCGGAGACAUCCAGCUAGAGCCGACCCUGCUGCUGUACCACUCUAUUACAUUAUUUAUUUUUAUGAGAUUCGAUGCCUGAAAGUCUGUUUCGGGAAACCCGAGGGUUCGAACUUCGGAGCGAACUAACACUGGACGCCUGGAUGGAAGCAUCAUAGGUGGACUUUGUCUGCAACAGCUGAUGAGCAGCGUGGUUAUGACUGAUGAAACAAGACCAAGAGGAUGCUGGAGAGCAGGAGAUAACGAAAUGACAAAUCGAGCCUACAACCACUCCUCCAAAGCGCUUGACUAGACCCUAUUUUGCAAUAACGCCCCUGGGCUGCAAAGCGCUCCAUUCCAGUGACUUCAGAGGAGUAUUCAGAAGUUUUAAAGAAAUGUAAGGAACGAGAAAUACACCCAUGAGGAAAAGUUCAGUAACUAGAACGGAGCUGGCAAGAAAGUGACAAAUAAAAGCACAGACUUGGGCAGAACAAGUUAAUUUCAAACACUACUGAUGCUGAGUAAGUGCCUGUUCAGCUCACACAGAGGCAAGUGGGAGAUCUGACUGACAUCAGUAGAAACAUGUGAACGUUUAAAACCGUCAAGAGUCUUCGUAAGUAAAUGAUCAAACAAGACCGUAAUAAGCCGAGGAGACGGGCUUGUGAAAUAGAGGGGCCCACACCUGCAAAGCACAGCUCUCUUUUCAUUAGAACAUCAUCUUUUCGGGCUGUAUUUGAGAUAUGGGCGUAAGCACUCUCAGUUUUCCCCCCAAACAAAGUUAACCACUUUCCCAUUUCAAGAAGUGAAUGAAAGACACAGCAACUGAAAGCACUAAUAUCUGUAUUACAGGUCUAGACGCUUUCUUGCUUCAUUUUGUUCAUCAGAAAAAAAAAAAAAGAAAAAAAAAGAAAGGAAAAAAAAAAGCACUUCUCAGCCCAAGCUCAAGAAACGUUAAGCGAUCGCCCUUUUGAUUACGAAGUAUAACACAACCCUCACCAGGGAUGAUGCUUUUACGUAACAGCCACCUAGUCGCUCACGAGGAGGAUGCGAUUGCGUGUCAACAACCCCGAGAGUCUCCCUUCUCCCGACCUUCGGCAGCACCCACCCGAAGCCAUUUCCUAUGACCACCGCAGCACCCAGCAGCACCCAGCCCUGCCAGCUCCAUCCCCGGAGCGGCUCAGGGCCUCAAACGCAGAGAGCAAAGGGGAAGGAACAAAGCCCUGACGUCAAUUACUGGAAAAGGAUUAAACCCAUCAGCUAAGAGAGGGGAACGCAUCGGCCCCAUUAGCACCGGGAACCGUCCCGAACGUCUCUUCCCCACGGGGGUCACCCCGGUUUUGCUCUCCGGGGCAAGGGACGCGGGCAGGGGAACGGUGCCCGGCCCAGACACCCACCGCCGCUCCCGCCCGGUGUGUAACUCCUCUCGGUGUGUCACUCGCCCGUGUCCGUGUGCGGGGAAACACGGCGGUCCCGCGGUUUUGAAACGGGACAGAUGCGCCGUGGAACGGGGCCAUCCCAUCCGUCCGGAACCGCAGCCUGGCGGGGCGCGGGGGGGGGGGGAAGGACGGACACACGGACACGCACGGACCCGGGGACGGGACGGGGCCCGCGCAGCUAAAGCUGGCAACGGAGAGCCGGGCCGCGGCCGGGGAAGGGACGGCUCCGGGCCUGGGAAAGCCCCCCGAGAAGUGAGCCGGGGGGCUGAGGGGGGGGGGGGAGCAGAGCCGGGUCCGACGGCGGCCGCUACCGGGAUCCUGCCCCUUCCCCGC